CAAGUACUCCCUCCGUCCGGAAAUACUUGUCAUCAAAAUGGAUAAUAAGGGAUGUAUCUAGAACUAAAAUACGUCUAGAACUCUAGAUACAUCUCCUUUUAUUCAUUUUGAUGACAAGUAUUUCCGGACGGAGGGAGUAGUAU
rfam:Triticum aestivum genome assembly, contig: Triticum_aestivum_CS42_TGACv1_scaffold_578142_7BL